CUGUCAUGUUACAUAGGGCAUGAAAUGAAGGAGUUAACCUCAUGUACUGCAGUAUGUGGGGAGAAGUUUCUAGAUUGCCAUGAGGCCAGGAGAUCGUUGGGGAGAGCAUGAGGACGGAAGGGAAAGGGGCCCCUGCGCAUGCUGUGACAGUUAGUCCCAGACAAACUGUACCUGUGAGAGAGGCAGCAUCCCGGCGGGCAGCUCUAGUGACAGAGCAGAGAGCGGGGGACAGAGACGCUGGCAGAGAGGCAGUCCUGGUAGCGGCGAUGCUAGAGACGCUGCAGGCAUGGAAAUAGGCGCUGGCAAAAAGAUAGUCUCGGUGACAGUGAGGCUGGAGAACGCUGCAGGUAGAUAAAUAGCCCCUGGCGUAGAGGCAGUCCCGGUGAUGUUGGAGAGCCAGAGAGCUGUGCAAUAGAGGCGCAGUCAACCAGAGUAAGAAGGAGAACGGUGAGGAGUGAGAUCCUGUCAGUGCUGAGGACUCACUGAUUGGUACAAGAACUACAAUAAGAGGUACCUACACUAUCUGGCUUACAAUAAUCAGACAGAGGGGGUGGAGAGGCAGAGCGUAGAGGAACAAGAGGAGUCGGGGGAGCUACCAGAGGUGGGAAUGUUUGUUGGAACGGUCUAAAGAAUUUAUUGACGCUGAUAGUCCAACUAUAGUUGUACAAUAAAGCUGUUAUACUUA